rnacentral:rRNA from 1 species
CUACGGGGCGCAGCAGUGAGGAAUAUUGCACAAUGGGGGGAACCCUGAUGCAGCAACGCCGCGUGGAGGAUGACGCAUUUCGGGGUGUAAACUCCUUUUAUAUGUCAAGAAAAUGACGGUAGCAUAUGAAUAAGCACCGGCUAACUCCGUGCCAGCAGGCCGCGGUAAUACGGAGGGUGCAAGCGUUACUCGGAAUCACUGGGCGUAAAGGACGCGUAGGCGGGUUGGAAAGUCAGGUGUGAAAUCCUACAGCUUAACCGUAGAACUGCACUUGAAACUUCUAAUCUAGAGUAUGGGAGGGGGAGAUGGAAUUAGUGGUGUAGGGGUAAAAUCCGUAGAUAUCACUAGGAAUACCGAAAGCGAAGGCGGUCUCCUGGAACAUUACUGACGCUAAGGUGUGAAAGCGUGGGGAGCAAACAGGAUUAGAUACCCCAGUAGUC